rnacentral:lncRNA from 1 species
GCACCCUUGUGCACGCCGACCUCAGCGAGUACAACAUGCUGUGGCAUGCUGGGAAGGUAAGUGGCACAGUUAGUUUAUAUCCAGGUUACAUUUCCUGAUGUGAGUCAGUGAGUGUAAACACAUUGAUUUAUGCUCUGUGUUUACUAGGUCUGGUUGAUUGAUGUCAGUCAGUCGGUAGAACCGACCCAUCCUCAUGGCCUGGAGUUCUUAUUCCGUGACUGUAGGAACGUUUCACAGUUCUUCCAGAAGGGAGGAGUAAAGGAAGCCCUUAACGAGCGGGAGCUGUUCAAUGCUGUUUCUGGCCUGAGCAUCUCAGCAGACAAUGAAGCUGACUUCUUAGCUGAG